rnacentral:rRNA from 1 species
CCCUUAGAUGUUCUGGGCCGCACGCGCGCUACACUGACGAAUGCAACGAGCUUAUAACCUUGGCCGAAAGGUCUGGGUAAUCUCCAAAUUUCGUCGUGAUGGGGAUAGAUUAUUGCAAUUAUUAAUCUUCAACGAGGAAUGCCUAGUAAGCGCAAGUCAUCAGCUUGCGUUGAUUACGUCCCUGCCCUUUGUACACACCGCCCGUCGCUCCUACCGAUUGAGCAAACCGGUGAAUAGUUUGGACCGUCGGCUUUCUUGGUUCGCCGGGUUAGCAGUACGGAAAAUUCAGUGAACCUUUUUGCUUAGAGGAAGGAGAAGUCGUAACA